GACGAACGCUGGCGGCGUGGAUUAGGCAUGCAAGUCGAACGGUAUCAUCCUUUCGGGGGUGAGAGAGUGGCGAACUGGUGAGUAACACGUAGGUUAUCUACCCUCAAGACGGGGACAACCCAGGGAAACUUGGGCUAAUACCGGAUGUGAGCAACUUUUAGUUGUUUGAAAGGUGGCGUAAGCUGUCGCUUGGGGAUGAGCCUGCGUCCUAUUAGUUAGUUGGUGAGGUAACGGCUCACCUAGGCAAUGAUAGGUAGGCGGCCUUAACGGGUGGUCGCCCACACUGGGAUUGAGAUACGGCCCAGACUCCUACGGGAGGCAGCAGUCGAGAAUAGUCUACAAUGGUCGGAAGACUGAUAGUGCGACGCCGCGUGAACGAUGAAUCCCUUCGGGGUUAAAGUUCUUUUAUAUGUGAGCAGUGCUUCUUAUAUUAACAGUAUGGGGAAGAGAUAUUAGCAUAUGAAUAAGCAACGGCUAACUCCGUGCCAGCCAGCCGCGGUAAAA
rnacentral:rRNA from 1 species